rnacentral:rRNA from 1 species
GACGAACCGUGCGAACGUUAUUCGGAAUCACUGGGCUUAAAGCGCGUGUAGGCGGGCGGGUACGUCGGCGACUGAAAGCCCCCGGCUCAACCGGGGAAGUGGUGCCGAAACGGCCGGCCUGGAGGGGCGUAGGGGGACCUGGAACUUCCGGUGGAGCGGUGAAAUGCGUUGAGAUCGGAAGGAACGCCCGUGGCGAAAGCGAGGUCCUGGACGCCAUCUGACGCUGAGACGCGAAAGCCAGGGGAGCGAACGGG